rnacentral:lncRNA from 1 species
UUGACGGCUCUUGUCAUUUCGGCACGGCCCAAGGUGACGGUCUCCAGGCCCUUAUUGCCGAUGAGGUCCUGGUACCGGCCGCCAAAGCCGAGCCACCUCGGGUUGUCGUCGAGGAGGUGGGUGUCGCCGGUCUUGCCGAACUCCCACCACACACCGGCCGGGGUCCUGAAGCCGACGAGGUAGAGGUUGUCCAUGCGUAUGGCGAGCGUGAUGGAGCUGGUCUUGGUUUUGAGCUGGGUGUAGAACCAGAGCUCGGGGACCUUCUUCUCCGGCGGCAGCACAGGC